rnacentral:rRNA from 1 species
UGGGGAAUUUUGGACAAUGGGCGAAAGCCGAUCCAGCAAUGCCGCGUGUGUGAAGAAGGCCUUCGGGUUGUAAAGCACUUUUGUCCGGAAAGAAAUCCUUGGCUCUAAUACAGUCGGGGGAUGACGGUACCGGAAGAAUAAGCACCGGCUAACUACGUGCCAGCAGCCGCGGUAAUACGUAGGGUGCAAGCGUUAAUCGGAAUUACUGGGCGUAAAGCGUGCGCAGGCGGUUUGCUAAGACCGAUGUGAAAUCCCCGGGCUCAACCUGGGAACUGCAUUGGUGACUGGCAGGCUAGAGUAUGGCAGAGGGGGGUAGAAUUCCACGUGUAGCAGUGAAAUGCGUAGAGAUGUGGAGGAAUACCGAUGGCGAAGGCAGCCCCCUGGGCCAAUACUGACGCUCAUGCACGAAAGCGUGGGGAGCAAACAGGAUUAGAUACCCUGGUAGUCCACGCCCUAAAACGAUGUCAACUAGUUGUUGGGGAUUCAUUUCCUUAGUAACGUAGCUAACGCGUGAAGUUGACCGCCUGGGGAGUACGGUCGCAAGAUUAAAACUCAAAUGAAUUGACGGGGUCAUAGCUGUUUCCU